ACAACGAGGCCACCAUUUUGGCAAAGCACAAGGAGUAUGACUGCGAAAUGAACUUGGAUCAGGUUGUGGAGGAAUACAUCCGCAUAUGCAGCGAAGACGAUGAGCAGCAGGUGAUUGCCGACCAGAAGCGCGAUGAGUUCGUCCGCACGAUCGUCAUGGAGCCGAAUGAUGACGAUAUUCACAACUUGCCAACAGGACCCUUGGCAGCUGUCGUCAAACAGCGAUCAAAUGUCUUGUCAAAGCAAGAAUAUUGUGAAAUGGUGCGUGCCACGAAUGCAGAGCAGCGGGAUUUGAUCGUGCAUGUAAUCCACAGCUUGCAUUCCUCUGAAAAAAAACUGCAAACCAGUGCAAAUAUUCUUCACUGGCCCGGCGGGCUGUGGCAAAACGUUCACUUUGCGCAUUCUAAUGGAGACAGUGAACCGGUACAGCCAAGCUCAUAAUAAGCAGCACAACGCUUAUGUAGCAUGCGCAUCCACUGGAAAAGCAGCGGUCGCAAUAGGUGGAACAACAGUGCAUUCCGCAUUCCGGAUUUGCAUGUCGCGUAGGCCAAGCUCAAAGCUGAGUUUCGAGGCAUUACAACUGUACCGGAACGCCUUCGCCAACGUGAAGCUCAUCAUUAUCGACGAAACAAGCAUGCUGGGUGCUGAUGUCCUCAACACAGUACAUGUCCGGCUUCAAGAAAUCACGGGGAACUACGACGAUCCGUUUGGUGGAAUGUCGAUCGUAUUUUGCGGCGAUCUUCGUCAAUUGCCACCGAUCAAUGCACGGGUGGUGUUUAAACCGAGCAUAAACUCCAUGCAUGGCGCCGUUUUAUGGCAAUCUCUCGACUUCUACCCAUUGGUUCAAGUUAUGCGACAAACCAACGAGCAGUUCUCCAGCAUUCUCACAAAAAUUGGCAACGGUGAGCCGAUGUCGUCUGAGAAAAUCAAGCUUAUUGAAAGCAAGUUCCGUACGGAGGAGUGGUGUCGGCAGCAUGUCCCUCGAGGUGUCCGGAUGAGGAUGUCCGGUUCCACCACGGAAAGGGUUCUAUGACCCCUAGAAUGAACGACCUUCGGACGGAACUUGAACGUUUGAGUAACCAUCGUAUGCGCACCAUUACAGACGAUAUCAUGGAAGCUAUAACCGCAAACAGGUUGGCUUGUACGUUGAUGAGCAUCAAUGUACAAAGUUUGAAUGCACACUCGUCGGACAACAGAUCGGGUGCUUACCGCCGUUGAUUUGCUUGCAAUGAGCGAAACUUGGCUUGACAACGGCACAACCACAAACAUCAAUGGAUACCUUUGUGUUUGUCAAGAGAAGCGUGACGGAACAAGAGCGGGAGGAGUGGCAAUAUUUGAACGUGCUGGUUCGUCGACUAUGGCCGUUUCUCACGCCAUUACGAAGCUCAAUGAAAGCUAUGACCCAGCAUUGAGUGUAGCAGACGAAUAUGGGGACUGCUGUGCUGCAAAGGUUUCGAUCAUGGAAACCCGCACGUUACUGUUUGCGGUAUAUAUUUCACCAGGUACCACCCUGAAGCAGAAGAAAUAUUUUCUAGUGCGCAACCUCAUAAAGUACACCCAUGUUGCCAUGCCCGUGGUAGUGUCGGGAGACUUUAAUAUUGAUGUGACGAAAGAGGAGAACAGAGAUUUCAUCUGGUUCAUGAAGCAGUUUCUCUAUCUGGAUUGUGCUUCGGAUCCAACUAUAGCGACUACUCUGGUGGCACAUGUCUCGAUCUAACGUUCACCCGGAACGUAAGUGUGGAAUGCAGGAGAUACUGCACGUACUUCUUCUACCACCGGCCUAUUUUGUCGAUUCUUGCGGUGUCCCGAGAACCGAUGCCAUCCCAGUGAAGUGAAUUAACGUCACUGAUCGUCGUUGUUCCGCUAGUUCAUCUGCCGAAACGUUCGAUUUCAACCUGAAUGACCAAUCAUUGACAUCAGCCGGACAGUCCGUAGCAAAAACAGAUAAUUGAUCCUGAAAAUGAAACUUGAGUAUUUGAUUCAGCCCAAGAGUGGAAUGAUACAUCCUUUAACAUUCAUCGGGACCACUGCGUACAUCACUUCAAAAGGCUUCAAGCCAACAUAAACAAACGGCCCUUUUCAGGGCCACCAAAUAUUCAUGGAGGAAGAUGUUGUUAAGGCUGUUGUUUACCGAUCUUCUGUUUCUUUAAUACUCUGCUUAUAGUUAUAAACCGAAAUGAGUUUAUAGUAACAAUCGGGUUUUCGCCCAUUUAUUUCCAGGAUAUGCGACAUGCCGAGGAUAUUCCAACCCAGAUUGAAUAUACAGCCCCAUCUUCAAAAAUCAGCAGCAAAAAACAUAUUCAGAGUUUCAAAAUAAAAUCUUCUACACUUACGUAAUCCUACGUCCAAUUGGUGGUCGUGUCUCGGAUACAACCUUCUACUUUUUUUAUCGUUGUUCGUUAUCUAUUGAGUACGAUUUCUGCAAUCCCUGCCCACCAUAUUUCUUGAAAGUAAAUUUCCUCGUUGCAAAGAUUCCGGAGCUGUGCGAAGAAAGUCAGUUGAAUUUAAGGUGAUUAUACAAUCAGUCCCGUGGUGAAUUUUCAAUUCACUAUAUGGUUUUCCACCGA